UACGUAGGGUGCGAGCGUUGUCCGGAAUUAUUGGGCGUAAAGAGCUCGUAGGCGGUCUGUCGCGUCGGUCGUGAAAACUUGGGGCUUAACCCUGAGCUUGCGGUCGAUACGGGCAUGACUGGAGUUCGGCAGGGGAGACUGGAAUUCCUGGUGUAGCGGUGAAAUGCGCAGAUAUCAGGAGGAACACCGGUGGCGAAGGCGGGUCUCUGGGCCGAUACUGACGCUGAGGAGCGAAAGCUAGGGUAGCGAACGGG
rnacentral:rRNA from 1 species